AUUGAACGCUGGCGGCAGGCCUAACACAUGCAAGUCGAGCGAGCGGCGGACGUGUGAGUAAUGUCUGGGAAACUGCCUGAUGGAGGGGUAUAACUACUGGAAACGGUAGCUAAUACCGCAUACCCUCAGAUGUCCCUAUAUGGGAUUAGCUAGUAGGUGGGGUAAUGGCUCACCUAGGCGACGAUCCCUAGCUGGUCUGAGAGGAUGACCAGCCACACUGGAACUGAGACACGGUCCAGACUCCUACGGGAGGCAGCAGUGGGGAAUAUUGCACAAUGGGCGCAAGCCUGAUGCAGCCAUGCCGCGCGUGUGAAGAAGGCCUUAGGGUUGUAAAGCACUUUCAGCGGGGAGGCGUUACUCGCAGAAGAAGCACCGGCUAACUCCGUGCCAGCAGCCGCGGUAAUAC
rnacentral:rRNA from 1 species